AUGCAGUCGAGCGGACAGAUGGGAGCUUGCUCCCUGAUGUUAGCGGCGGACGGGUGAGUAACACGUGGGUAACCUGCCUGUAAGACUGGGAUAACUCCGGGAAACCGGGGCUAAUACCGGAUGGUUGUUUGAACCGCAUGGUUCAGACAUAAAAGGUGGCUUCGGCUACCACUUACAGAUGGACCCGCGGCGCAUUAGCUAGUUGGUGAGGUAACGGCUCACCAAGGCGACGAUGCGUAGCCGACCUGAGAGGGUGAUCGGCCACACUGGGACUGAGACACGGCCCAGACUCCUACGGGAGGCAGCAGUAGGGAAUCUUCCGCAAUGGACGAAAGUCUGACGGAGCAACGCCGCGUGAGUGAUGAAGGUUUUCGGAUCGUAAAGCUCUGUUGUUAGGGAAGAACAAGUGCCGUUCAAAUAGGGCGGCACCUUGACGGUACCUAACCAGAAAGCCACGGCUAACUACGUGCCAGCAGCCGCGGUAAUACGUAGGUGGCAAGCGUUGUCCGGAAUUAUUGGGCGUAAAGGGCUCGCAGGCGGUUUCUUAAGUCUGAUGUGAAAGCCCCCGGCUCAACCGGGGAGGGUCAUUGGAAACUGGGGAACUUGAGUGCAGAAGAGGAGAGUGGAAUUCCACGUGUAGCGGUGAAAUGCGUAGAGAUGUGGAGGAACACCAGUGGCGAAGGCGACUCUCUGGUCUGUAACUGACGCUGAGGAGCGAAAGCGUGGGGAGCGAACAGGAUUAGAUACCCUGGUAGUCCACGCCGUAAACGAUGAGUGCUAAGUGUUAGGGGGUUUCCGCCCCUUAGUGCUGCAGCUAACGCAUUAAGCACUCCGCCUGGGGAGUACGGUCGCAAGACUGAAACUCAAAGGAAUUGACGGGGGCCCGCACAAGCGGUGGAGCAUGUGGUUUAAUUCGAAGCAACGCGAAGAACCUUACCAGGUCUUGACAUCCUCUGACAAUCCUAGAGAUAGGACGUCCCCUUCGGGGGCAGAGUGACAGGUGGUGCAUGGUGUCGUCAGCUCGUGU
rnacentral:rRNA from 1 species